rnacentral:lncRNA from 1 species
CAUGACCACACAGGAAUGGGCAACAGCAGAGUAAGGAUUCAGCUACAUUAGUAAAGAAACAGUGAUUUGACUGCAGUAUGAACAUGCGACACCAGAUGGUGCCAGAGAGCAGAAAAUUUUAAAACGUGAUUUUCCAUAGAUACUUUUUCCUUUUGUUAAAACAAUCUAAUUUCUGACUUAUUUCCCCCCUGUUUUUAGAUCCAUCCCAAGACUGCAAACAAGGGGAGAGUGAUGUUGGGGGCCUACGGUAAGUUCCUCUGGAAGUGAACAGAGCACUCAAAGAACGGUUGGGAGGGUGGCAGAAAGACUAAGAGGAGGAAAAACUGAGUCAAGCAGGCAAAGAAAGAAAGUUGGCACUGGCUCUAGAGCUGCAAUAUUUAGUUGAUAAAUCAGUAAAUGGAAUGAAACACCCGAUUAACCAGACAGGACCCCAGCAGUAUGUAUAACAUAAAUGUGCAUGUAAUAGAAUCACAGCACAGUUCCUUUUUUAUAAUUUAUCAUCUUAUAUAAUUGGUCAGCUACUGCCUACCUGAAGCCAGGUGGCCCCAAUUAAUAAAAUGCUGACCCACCACUUCAAGGGGUGCUUGGAGCUGAGAGUAUCACUCAACAAGUAGACUGAACUUCUGCACCAGGAAAGAAAGAAAAGAAAGAAACCCACCUGCGCCUCAACAGCCACAGCAGGCGCUGUAACCUUCCAACAUUUCGACUUCAACCCCAAAGGCACACUCCUCCGUUGUCUCCCGAGACAGAUGGAUGCCAAUUUAUCAGCCUACAAUAUAUAUAUGAGCAUCCUAUUCUCUUAUGCAUGCAUACAAAUCAACAAGCUAUAAACGUCCAUUAGUGCAUACCUCAGCCAUAUGUUAUGUUAUUUUUAUCUCUUUCAGUGUGAAAGUACUAAAUAAUUCUGUUUAAAAAUUUCUUCAUGUAACAUUCUAUUACUAGCUCUCCUGUAAUCAAACAGGGUCACUGAGCAGCCAAAUUCUAUACAUAUUUCUAUACAUAUCCCAAUCCAUUUAACUGGUUUUUUGCUAGUUAAUCGGGUCCUCCCUUAAAGAGGGCACGUAUUGCGGUGAGACCUGGACAACAGGCACCCUGUGUUGUGGGUGGGUUCAAUUGGUAAGCCACAACACCCGAUUGGUAGGUCCCUCGAAGCUGGGUACAAUCUGGCCAAUGGGACACAGUUCAAACGGUUUGAGGGACCUAUUUAUGCCCAUGCCCAUGACCCAGCGCUUCCUCUUGCGGCGCGUACAUUCGGAACACCCACCCACCUCUACCUAUUUUUAGAGCCUGUUGUGCUUGACCUUGCUAUGCCGUCGUGUGUCGUCUGUCAUUGGGACAGGGGCACGGCAGGAAUUUCCCCCACUUUGCUGAUUGGCUGUUGCCAUUUGGGUUUCGCCUGCCAUGUAGCAAAUCAUCACAACUUGUAAAGUUGCAGACAGGCUCUGGUUCAGGUGAUAGGGAUGGGAGAACGCUCUCGCCAUCCCUUUGUGAAGGGUAUUUCUUUAAAGGAAUCCAGGAACUUGAUGGUUUGGUCAACCCCUGAGAGGGGGAUGUGCCCGUGCCUUAGUCCAGGGGGACAUUUGGGUGGGGGAGAUACCCUGCUCCUGGCUUUCCACUUAUCCAGGUGUUCACCCUUGGCUGACCUAUGCUGGUGCCCUGGGUCAGCGCUACCUGCAUGGCAGGGAGCUAGUCGAACCAGAGCCUAUGCAACCAGUCAUCAAUAAAGUUGUGGCCUAAAUUCUGCCAAAAACCAAACCUAAACUUUGAAUAAAGUGUGAAUUUAUUUAGGGGGGAGGUUUCUGGGUCUGAACACACAAAUAACGGAGUUUCUAUUCUUUACUUCAUGGUAGAUGUGCACCAUUUGGGGGGGAAAACAAACUCCUCACACUAGGUUAAUUGAGUAAACUUAAUAUAGUGUAUUUUAUGAUAGACUUUAUUGUUCAUACAGUGUGUUGUUUACGCACUGUUGAACCAUUUUGGUAAAACUUGAGGGGGGGGGGAGCUAAAUUGUUUCAUUUUAAUCAAAGGCAAAAUAAGGCUAGAAAUCCACCCGUAGGAUUAAUCUCAGUAAAAUCCAUUGUGUUGAGAUUAAAAUGCAGGGAUACAUUGCAUUAACCCAGAUGGUUAAUAAAGCAGGGAUACAUGGAAUUAACCCAGAUGGUUAAUAAACUUUGCACAUUGUUUGGAAUUAAGAUAACAGCAAAUGGCUUCUUGACUAGAAGACAAAUUGUUUGUGAAUUGUCAAUGCUAGUGGUGUGCUAAAACUACUCACAUAUUUUUCCACAGACAUUUUUGGCAGUUGUAAGAACACCCACCCCCUUCUUAAUGAUUUUUGGCAACACUCUGGGGGGAAAAACAAACAAACAAAUGUUUUCUUGUUUUUUGUGUUUUGCUUUUUACAUUGUUAGCAUUCUUUCCUUUGGCUUGUUCUCAGAGACAUUAUUAGGCUACAUGGCAUUGUGACACCCUAAUGGGUUAGGAUCGCAUGUGUGAUUUGCUUUCAUUAGUGCUCACUUUCAACCUCUCUUAUUUUCCCUGAACGACAUUACCAUGUAGUCCAAUUUGAUUGGGUAUGUAGUGCCAGUUGCAUGAUACCUAACUGACUGAGAUCACCACCCACUGACUAAUUCAGCAAGGAGAAAGUUGCAGCAGCUGGAGGAAAAAUGUGACACUGACACAGCAGUAGGGGAAGCAAUGGUGUCAAAUUGUGUUGAGAAAGGUGAGUACAGUAGUACCUUGGCUUAAGAACAGCUUAGUUUAUAAACAACUUGGAUUAAGAACGCUGCAAACCGGGAAGUAGGUGUUUUGGUUUGUGAACUUUGCCUUGGAAUAAGAACAUGUUUUGCUUCCUGUUGAGUGUGUUCCAUUUGUAAAUUGAGUCCCCUGCUGCUAUGGGAAAGCAUGCCUUGGUUUAAGAACAGACUUCCAGAACGGAUUAAGUUCGUAAACCAAGGUACCACUGUACCUGUAAAGCCUAAUUUCUAGCCCACCAAAUUAGCUUCUUUUUAGAAUGUUACAGUUAAAACUGGGGAAGUUGCAGCUUAGUCCUCAUCAGUUCACCAUGGGUGGGCAGUGCAACCGACCACUGGUAUUCAGACACACAAACAUGGAAUAUUAAAAGCUUGUUAAUAAGCUAAUAAGCAUGUUUAAAUAAUCUCUGUGUUAUAUGCUGACGACGUCCUGGCAAUACUAAAAAUGAUUAAAUUCUCUUCUCUUACUACCUGGGUACAAUAAUAUGCAUGCACAAAGGAGUGAACGAAGGGCAUGUUGCACAUACAAUAAGCCAACUAAAAAAUGAUUAAAACAUAAGCUUGAAAUCACUUACUCUGCAUUAGUAUGAUUAAUGGAGCUGGUCUAUUGGUAAGACAUUGCAGCAGUCCUGAGAAAUGGCACAAUUACUUCUUUUGAAUAGGAAAGUUAAAAGACUUGUUACUAAAGGGCAGUGAGUACCAUUUGGCGGUUAAUUAGCACUUCUAGUGAACCGCACCAUUAAACACUGUAAACAUAAUUCCCAACCUGAUCACUUUCUGACAUCCCUAUUGGUAUGAAGUAAAUUGAAAUGAAUGGCAAUAUUGAUUGCUCCUCUGUUAAUUAAAAACUGGCAAUCAUUCCUGAAAUUUAAAAGGUGAUUCACUGACCACUUAUGUCAGCUUUAGUCGGAGUACAAGGUACCAUAAGAGCCAAAGGGUUUGCAUUUUAUCAACUUAACCUCGUAAGAGAACAACCCUGUAAAACCAGUGUAAUAAAUUAGCUAUUGAUAAAAGUAGGGGCUGUAGGACAGAGAUAAAACAAAUUUAGAGGAAAAUAUCAAGCGAAUUCUUCCUACAGUUUACUAAUAAGCAAACAAACAAAUCCCUAUUUUGAUUUUAUAUUUUUUACAUUCCCAGUAAUGGCUCUUCAGCUCUGGAAAAAAAAUGAUCUCCUAGUUUCCUUCCAGCAAUAUAAUUCUAUGAUUCUAAAAGAACCAUAGAACUGAUAGGUAAGCAGAACUUCUAAACUCAAGGGAAGACUAGCUCCAAGAAACAGAUGUUAAAAUCAACAUUUCAAAAUGCCAGAGUGAAUUUUUGAAAAUCCAGUCAAUUCCAAAUUUCUCCAACAUUUCCAAAGAGCUGCCCCCAUCUGCCUCUGCCUCUGAAAUUCACUAGAAGCAAAAGAGAAGCAAGAGAACACACGAGUGACCAAAAAGAAGGGGUGAAAUGAAAUUCAGCUGGAAAACCAGGGUUGAGAAGUAGAACUGACAGGGCUGGUACAAGUGAUUAAGUUGCCUGAGCUGAGUGAUGUCGCCUCCUCUUCCAGCCAGUGGCGUAGCGUGGGUUGUCAGCACCCGGGGCAAGGCAAGUAAUUUGCGCCCCCUAACCCUGAGUGAGCCAGGUAGGGGCAGAGAGCUGCGAGUGCGAGUGCCCCCCCCCCCGAUGUUGCGCCCGGUGCGGCCAGCCCCCCUGCACCCCCCACGCUACUCCACUGCUUCCAGCUCACCAGCCCCAUUUCCUCUUCACUCCCUACUUACUUACAUUUUACAAGUGAUUUAAUGGUGGUAGUCUCUCUGCCUCCCCUGCCUCCUUGCUUUGCUCUCAAAAACAGCCAUGAGGGAGCCUUCCUCAGAGUGAGACAUUCUGAGCAAGGUGGUCAGGACUGUGGAUUGAAUCCAGAUGUUCCUCCCAUAAGUAAGAGCAUCCCUUGAAUAGGAUUAUUCUGCCAAUUUCUUCCUUCCCUUUCAACCCCGGCACCCUUUUAUAGAUAUACUGCCAGCUGAAAAGAGAAUGGGAAUUCAGCCAAAAACACCUCUUUCCCUCUCUGCCAGCAAGAUAUCUCUGCCAGAUCAAAAGUCUUCAAUGGAUGGAAGAACCCUUUCCACCUGCAGAAGGCAAAGGGUAGCUUCAACCCAGAAAUAUGAAAGCAUUCACAAUUUAGGUAGGGGAAGGCGACAGAGAAUUCACUAACUUCUGGUGCCGAAUUAAGGACUGAACACAGGUCAAGUGAUCAUACAUGUAAAAUAAAUUGCACUUUUCAAA